CCCCUCCCUCCUCCCUCCAUGUGCAUCCCUUCCGGAGCUGCUGCUCCUCCCCAGUAGAGGAGGACCUGUCUUUGGUCAAGAGUAUAUGAGUAGUUGCUCUGCGCUGCUCAAACCUCCAAACAAAGCUCUCAAGGACAAAGGGAUCAGGAAGCGGGAGGCAGAAGUCACCAGCUCCGAGAAGCACAUUGAUCUGACUC
rnacentral:snRNA from 1 species